CCUGGAGGGCUGGGCCUGACAGCAGCGGGAGCUCGUGUGUCUGGUGACCGAGGGUCAUCUGGCCCCCGCGCAGCCCCACUGCUCUGGGGCCCCCGCGCCGCCGCGGCCCCGACACCUGACCUUUCAUGAAACCAAAACAUCCGCGAAUGCGCAGCGGCUCUGGCCCGCCUUUCAGCACCCGGCGAGCGGCGUUUUGCUUGUGCUUUGGUGGCCCGUUGCCCGCUCCUGGGGGCCGGUCUCAGGCCUGCCUGGCCCUUCUCCGGCCCCUCCUUGCUCACCCAGGACGAAGGAAGGACUUGUUACCACGUCAGCAAGCCUUGCUUCUAAACUGAAAUGAUGGGGAAAGGUGAAAGUGGAUCCCUCUAGAUAGCAAGUGACAGUGACUCCGGUAAUAAUAAUGAACAGUGUCCCUGUACCGUUGACCACAUUAUAUCGUUUCGCUGUCACCGCGGUUGUGAAGUCUGUGCCAUCCCUGAACUCAUUCGGUGUCACACCUCUGGCAGCCCCCACCAGGUGCCAGGCACAGUCCUGGGCACUUGAUCACGAUUAAACGCCCUCCCGAAGUUUAUGUUCCAGUUGGGGGACACACGUAAGCACAUGAUUUCUGGUCGUGGUCAGUGCCGUGACCAGAAUAAAGCAUGUUAAUGGCAUCGCAAGUGCAGAGGGCAGGGAGGGUGUGCAGAGCGGGAAGCUGCGUGGGGUGGGAUGGUCCGGGGAGUCCUCUGAGAGAGGGACGUUUAAGCCAAACCCUGAGUGACACAAGGGAGCCAGCCAGCUGCAGACCUGGAAGGAAGUGUCCCCAGUAGGGGCAACAGUCAGCAGAAGGCUCUGAGAUGGGCACAAGUAUGAGAGCAGUAAGCGGGCCGGAAGGCGGGCAGAUGCCAUGGCGGACACCUAGGCCCAGAGAGGCCAACGGAACCGUAAAGUGUCACGUAGCCUGUGAACGUCAGAGCUGCCUUUUCAGGCCUGGGUUUCCCAAUCCCACCCUCCUUUCGUUGCCCUGUGCUGUGUUUUCCGUAGGUCUGGGCGAGUCUGGGUUUUCUGCAUUUUGACGAAGACGUGUGCUCUGUUUACCUCGUGGCCGGGCCUGAUGGAUUGGGCCCGGCUGGGUCGGGGAGAUGAGUGACUGUGCCUCAUCUUGGAUGCUUUUCACAAAAGCUUGUAGAGUUCCAUUGACGUGAUACCCUCCGUAGAUGGGAUUGUUUGAGGUUUGGACAGGCCCUCAUCUGGAAAUGACUUCUCCUUAGAGUAGUGAUUGCUACUGCGGUCACAGCGAUGGGCUUCCUCGGGGUAAGGGGUUGUCAGAGUGGGGGAAGGAUUGCUCAGGAGCGUGACUAUCCAAAAAGCAUCAGCUGUUUUUAUCAUGAAUUUUUCGUCAGUUGCUGUCAGCAUUUCUUACUCUUCCCCUCCUGUUAGGACACAAGCAGAAGAUACGAAAACAAGGCUGGCAGUUUCAUCACUGGAAUUGAUGUCACCUCCAAGGAAGCAAUUGAAAAGAAAGAACAACGAGCCAAGCGCUUCCAUUUACGAUCAGAAGUAGAUCUUGCCCAAAGAAAUAUAGCCUUGGACCGAGACAUGAU